rnacentral:rRNA from 1 species
AUUGAACGCUGGCGGCAGGCCUAACACAUGCAAGUCGAACGGUAACAGGAAGCAGCUUGCUGCUUUGCUGACGAGUGGCGGACGGGUGAGUAAUGUCUGGGAAACUGCCCGAUGGAGGGGGUAAAUAACUGAAACGGUUACUAAAUACCCAUUAACGUCGAAGAACAAAAAGGGGGGACCUUAGGGCCUUUGGCCUUGGGAGUGGCCCAGAUGGGAUUAGCAAGUAGGGGGGGUAACGGCUCACCUAGGCGACGAUCCCUAGCUGGUCUGAGAGGAUGACCAGCCACACUGGAACUGAGACACGGUCCAGACUCCUACGGGAGGCAGCAGUGGGGAAUAUUGCACAAUGGGCGCAAGCCUGAUGCAGCCAUGCCGCGUGUAUGAAGAAGGCCUUCGGGUUGUAAAGUACUUUCAGCGGGGAGGAAGGGAGUAAAGUUAAUACCUUUGCUCAUUGACGUUACCCGCAGAAGAAGCGCCGGCUAACUCCGUG